rnacentral:lncRNA from 1 species
CGUUCUGUUUUGGACAAAUUAACCACAAUCAUAUAUAGACAGAGAAACUUCUGCCAACGGAAGCAUUUCCUGGUGCAAAUAUUAAGCAGUUUCCAUGCUUCUCCACACAAAAAGCAUUCAUACGACUGGGGCCUGUAACUAAAUCAGCAUAUCGUAUCCUUCAGAACAAAGCAAACGAUAACGCUUUAAAAUAUAGUAGAAUAAUAAUGAUAAUGGGUGCUCUACUUUAUUUCAAGCUAAGCUGGAGGUAAUAUCAAGCACCCCACUAAGUCCUGUAUAGAUUGCUUCUCCAGAAACUAAUGGAAGCAAGAACCGCAGAAGGGCCAGAAAGGUGUUGCAGAAAAACAAAUCUAAAGAGAAAAGCUAUCAAUACAACUUCACCAAUAGGAACCAAUAAAAGAGGGUGGAGUCAACAACUACACAAAAGUAAGGUGUCUUUGCGGCAGCCAUCACAUCUUCUGGGAGCGUCCCUUUAAGAACACCCAAUACAGCUAAAUCAAAGUGGAAUGCUUAGUUAACUUGUAGCUAAUUUAGCAUUAUCACAGUACUUGCACCCUCGUGGGAAAAAAAUAAAAUAAAAACAAACCUUAAUUGUAGUGAGAUUUCUCUCCACUCAUAGAAAGGUGUCCACCAUGAAUCUGCCAGCUUAGCCCCCACCACUACAUACCAAUAAGAGAAUGCGGUGGACCUGCAGCGGCAAAAGAAAAUCAUGAUUCCACCAAGGAAUCAUAAAUUUGGCAUCAGAUGCCGUAACUAUCCGGUAUAAUAGUACCCUGAUCACACAGAAAGACAAUCCUGCUGUCGGCCAAACAAAGACUAUUAGCAGUUAAU